GGCACACACUGAAAUCCCAGCUAUUCGAGAGGCUGAGGCGGUUUCGGAUCAGCCUGAGCAACUGAGUGAGACCCUGUUUCAAAAUUAAAAAAUAAAAAAGGGCUAGAGAUGUAGCUCAACACUCCUGGGUACAGUCCCCAGUACUGCAAAACAAACAAGCAGACACAUUUGAUAACUAGAAGAACUCAGAAAUUGACGGAUUAGAAUGGAUUUUCUAAUGGCCAUAAGGCACCAGUAUGGCCACACAGCACGUGCUGGCUGAACUUGAGCCCUGUUGAGCCACAGGUACCUGCAGUGCUUGCCCUCUCACCCAGGUGAGAGGUUCUUUGAUAUUGACAGUGGGAGGAAGGCACCUCUGCACUCACCACCCAGCCAGCACUAUACCAUUGUUUUCAACACCUUCGUGCUGAUGCAGCUCUUCAAUGAAAUCAACUCCCGAAAGAUCCAUGGAGAGAAGAAUGUCUUUUCAGGCAUCUACCGCAACCUCAUCUUCUGCUCUGUAGUCUUGGGCACAUUCAUCAGCCAGGUUCUCAUUGUGGAGUUUGGGGGAAGCCCUUCAGUUGCACCAAGCUCACCCUGUCCCAGUGGCUGUGGUGUCUCUUCAUCGGGAUUGGGGAGCUCUUGUGGGGCCAGGUCAUUUCUGCGAUACCUACUCAGUCUCUGAAGUUCCUGAAGGAGGCUGGGCAUGGCACUACCAAAGAGGAGAUCACCAAGGAUGCAGAGGGGCUGGAUGAGAUCGACCACGCUGAGAUGGAGCUUCGCCGAGGCCAGAUCCUCUGGUUCCGGGGCCUGAACCGUAUCCAGACUCAGAUCAAAGUGGUCAAAGCAUUCCAUAGCUCCCUCCAUGAAAGCAUUCAGAAACCCAAGAACCAAAACUCCAUCCACAACUUCAUGACCCACCCUGAAUUCGCCAUAGAAGAGGAGUUGCCACUGAACACCACUGUUGGAUGAACAAGAGGAUGAAGAUCUUGAAAAGGUUUCUAAGACUGGGACUAGGGUGCUCCCGCUGGAUGAUGAGGUCACCCCACAUGCUAACCAAAACGCGUGUGGUGGACUGCAACCAAGUACACGUUGUUGGCUCCCAUUCCGGACAGCCCUCUACAAAACCUGGAGACGUCGGUUUGAACUUUCAUUCUCUGACUCCCACCCCUGUUGUCCCUAUUUCCUUUUCCAUCUGUCUCAUCUCUGAGGUGAGGAUGGGACUUUAACUGUCAUGCCAGCUGCUCCCACGUGUGUGAGAACCCCCAACUGAUGAAGCAAGAGCACAGACCUACAAGGAUUUCAACUUAAACUUGAGUUUGUAGCAGGACCCAGUCAAACCCCAGGCCGGUAACUGUAGACUCUACUCCUUGGGGGCAUCCGUUGUCAUUGGUAAAGGAAUGCUGCCAGCCCUCCUGGCAUCCCCCGACCCAGAUCCUCCCCAGUGUUUGGACAUGUCCCAACUUCUGGAUUUUAUCCUCUGAGUCCUGCCAUUUGUAAACUGGGGCUUUAGAGACAAACUUCCACAAAUGAAAUUUGUGGAUUUAAGGAUAGAAUGCAUAAAUAAAUCAGCCAGCAGAGUAUUUUAAAAACCACUUUGAAAACUUACAACUAAAGGCCUCUAGCUUUUUCUGCCCCUAAUGUUCUUUUGGACUUUUGUGAUCCUUAUCUUCCAUCUCUUCCGCUUUUUAAAAAGUUAGGAAUUUAAGAGAAUGGAAAGGACGUAAAUUGAUUCAACUUUGACCAUUCUCCUUUAGGGUCCCCAUAGAACCCUUGACUUGGUUCUAGAGGCAGAUGGGUUUCUUUGCUAAAAGAGUCCUUUUGAAGCCAUUAAUAACUGUUAAGAUUGCUUCCCUGUUGUUGCCAGGUUAGUGUGUCUUCUUCCAAACUGCUGUGUUGUCAGGUGUGUGUGGUCCUUAAGUGCCAGGGAGAGCAGUCUUGACCAUGGAUCAUACAGAUGUAAUACAAGUGUAUGCAGUUUUUGCUAUGGGCCUGAGCGUCUUUGUGUUGCUAAAGUGGUGGCAAAAGAAUGCAUUUAGUAUGGUGCUGCCUACUAGUUGGUCCUGGAGUUUGAGGACCAGAAGCUGGCAGGCCUAGGACAAGAUAGACCGUCAAAUAAGACUUACGGGGUCCUCCUUGGGGUAACUGCUGCUUUCAAAGCCAUCUCCAGGGCUCUUCCAGGGCAAGACCUGAUUGUUGAGGGAGUAUUGAAAAGCCGAAGAGUCACGCUGGCAGGGUGUAAGGAAACCUCCCUGCAGGCACCAGAAACCUUGAGCUUGGGUGCCUGGGCAUCAGCUUUGACAUUCUCUUCAGUUUCCUAAUUCUGCGCUUUGUGAGGUCUGUGGUUUGUUCAGACUCAGAAUGUUCCGGCCUUUUGCAAACAUUCUGAUUUUGUAAAUAGACCUCCAAAGGGGAGGCUCCCAUGGCAUUGUGCCGACUUAAGGAGCAAAACACCCAUCCCGGAGAGCCCCGCUUCCUCUUCCUCCUCCACCUCUCUCUCACUCUCUCCCACAUUCCCUUUGAGUGCUCUCUGCAGUGUGCUCCAGGAAAGCCCUGUGCCAUCUUGCCCUUCUUGCCCCUUGUCCACCUGCCACUCAGGACUUGAGGGCUUAUCUGAGACUUUUACCAGACAAGGUGGAGCCACAUUUGCAGGAGCUCCAUUUUAUCCCUGCUGAUACUGACUUUCGCUGUGGUGUGAAGGUGGAGCUGACUGAUGUCCCCGAUUCCCACCUCCCCUUAGAUCAGUGAAGCCCCCCCCCGCCCUUCCAGAGUGUUGGGAGUAAGGAGGAGGCACUAAGGCUCUUAGGGACUGUCGCAUUUCCAUCUGGGAAGGGAAAGUGGCCUGAACCUGUCCAUCCAGCCGCUUCUUCUAGAUCCACCCUCCCUUGGCCCUUGCAUCUGAGUUGUCCUAGGUAAGAAGAAUAAAAAAAAAAUAGCCCCUACACAUCAUCAUUACUAGUAAUCCAUCAUUACAGGGAAACAACUUUGAGUUUGGUUUUUUGAGAGUUAACAUGUUUCGGCAAUCUUUUCUCUGUCUUAAAUACCCAUGGGGAAAGAAACCAGCUCACCCAAGGUGUUGAGUGUUCACACACAUAUUUAGUAAGUACAUUGGAAGAUUUAAUUCUGUCAAGUCUUUUAUUACCUCAGAUCAUCUAAAGAAGCAAGCCAAUACCAAGCUUUGGAGGUCAUUUUACCAUUCCUGCCCCAAAAAGACUCUCAUGGUGCCUGACAGGUUACUCCUGAGGUCUUGUGUCUACUUUUUUAAAGUCAAUGGUGUGUGUGUGUGUGUGUGUGUGUGUCUCCUAGUUUCCAUAGUAAGAGAGAAAAUAUAGAAAUAUUAUGCAAAAAAUAUAGUUUUCUUUAGAUCAGAAACUGAUAUUUUUGAGUCAGCCAUAUGUAUUUUGUUUAAACGAUUUAAAAUAAAGUAAGUGCCGUCAUGUAACCCUGUGGAAGGGAGCACAUAACCAGCUGAUUGACAUGACAGGUGACUUAGUAUAUUUGUAAUUGGUUUAAAAACCAAUACACUGUACUUCCUUUCUCCAAACAGCCAUCUUUAUACUUAGGGGAAAAAUUUGUUGGGUUCUAGACUUUUUAAUAUAAAUUGUGUUGAUAUGGAAUUAAGUUUAAGUGUUUAUGUGGAUAUGUUUUUAUAUAUAAGUUUUUUCUAUUCAGUUUCAGUGAUCCAACCGGCAGUGAGUAAAUAUGGCAUAAGUUAAUAAUGCUUUUCCCCAAAAUGGUGCUUUGGAUUUUAAAAGGGUCUGAUGGGAAGAAGGAGAAAACAUCAGCCUAGAUUCCUGUCUUGAUAGCUAGGAAAGUGAAUAGUAAACUGUGGAUAGUGAGGGAGAACAUCCAACAAAAAGAGACACAGCUGUCAGAAGUGAAUGUGUGCCCCCGUCUCCGCCCUGUAGAGAUGAACCGCCAGGCUGUUUUGUAGCUAGUGGUUAGGAUUGGGGGCCUUCUAUUGGAUUUGUGUCUCUCGAGAAAUGAGCUAGCAGAGUGGUACCAAAGACAAUCUCCUGGUCUGCAAGGAUGCUCUCCAUUUGUAGUUUGCGUUUUUUAUGGUUCUCUCACUCCUUGAUCCCCCUGGAGUUUUCCAUUAAUGAGUUUUUGUGCAAGGAUCUGAGUUGUGAUUCCUUCCUCCCCUAGAAAGGUCUUGUUCAGUACAUUAGAUGGGAGACAGAACACCAAGUAGAGAAAACCAUGGCUGGUUCUAGUCCUGGGUGACAGCCUCAGGGCCGACUCUUUCCCAUAGGCAUCCUCUAUCCUCUGAAAUGACUCUCCCAUCCCUGAAAAUAUUGAAGAAGCCAUCUAGAAAUCCGUCCAUUUGUGGAUUCUUUAGGGUUUGGGGUUUUUCUUCCCUUUGGAGCUAGAGGGGGAGAGUUUGCAGGCAGAUAAAUCCGAGCGAUUACCUCACUGCGCGAAAACCUAGAGGGCUGUGGCAAAGCACGAAUGCAUGCUGGAAGACCUCUCAGUGUAGCUCUCCUUUCUUUCCUACCUCCCUUGCCUUAUGAUUGAAGCCACCCGUGGCACCACCCGUCUGCACACAUGCUCACCUUUCAGACCUAGGGACCACCCCACUGCACUAGUGGAGGUGGGCACUGACAAUGCCUGCUGUUAAGCCAUUCCGCCUCUUCCUCAGAGUUAACCAGCCUCCUCUUCUUUAGUUCAGUGCCAGGACUUUUGCCUUACUAACUCUGCAGUUAGACCUGCUGUGCCCUUCUGCUUUUCUUUCUAUUUUAUAAUUUUCCCCUGGUACUGGGGAUUGAACCCAAGGCCUUCACACUGAGCUACAUGCCCAGCCCUUUAAAAAAAAAUUUUUUUUUUGUUUUUCAGACAAGGUCUUGCUUAGCUGCCCAAGCUGGGCUCAAACUUGCAAUCUUCUCCCUCAGCCUCCCAGGCAUGCACUACCACACUUGGCUCCCUUUCCUCUUGAUUAGGAAAGAUGGAGGGAGAUUAGCUCCCUUAAAUGAAUCGGCCUUUCGUUCACGUUUUUCUCCAUAUGUAUAUAUGCCAUAUGUGAAUAUGCCAUAUAUAUAUAUAUGUGCCAACAAAUCUAUCCACGUUGUUCUUUUCAAAUCAGCACGCACAUAGGAUUUUGAGUUUCUUCUUCUGCAAUCACUAGUAUAACAAGCACUGGUAUUUUUUGUACAAAAAAGAAAACCAAACAAAAGAUUGACUAUUGUGAUCUGCAUGACAAACAAAUGGUGGUAUCGAAGCAGUGUUUCCCCUGGUGUGUGCGGCCAUCAUUUGCAGUUCAGCUUAACAGCGUGCCUGAUCUGUAUUUGCAUUUUGAUAUUAUUUAAACUCUAUGUACAAUGUUUUGCAUGUAUUUAUACGGUUCUUAGGGAAAAUGCUAUGAACUGGCAAAUCUGAAAUUCAAAUGUGUUGUUCCACUGAGGCGGGAAGAAAAGAGGAAUUUCAAAAGGAAUAAUUUCUUGGAACCAAUAAAGCUUUUUUGCUGAUGAGCAGAAACCAGUACUGCCAUGCACUGAGAAUAAAAUCCCAUGCCCACUUGUAA
ensembl:lncRNA